rnacentral:rRNA from 1 species
ACGAACGCUGGCGGCGUGCUUAACACAUGCAAGUCGAACGGUGAAGCGCCUUCCUUUUUGGUGGGUGUGGAUGAGUGGCGAACGGGUGAGUAACACGUGAGUAACCUGCCCCCUUCUUCUGGAUAACCGCAUGAAAGUGUGGCUAAUACGGGAUAUUCUGGGUCUGUCGCAUGAUGGGUCUGGGAAAGAUAUUGUUUCGGUGGGGGAUGGGCUCGCGGCCUAUCAGCUUGUUGGUGGGGUGAUGGCCUACCAAGGCGGUGACGGGUAGCCGGCCUGAGAGGGUGGACGGUCACACUGGGACUGAGACACGGCCCAGACUCCUACGGGAGGCAGCAGUGGGGAAUAUUGCACAAUGGGCGCAGGCCUGAUGCAGCGACGCCGCGUGAGGGAUGGAGGCCUUCGGGUUGUGAACCUCUUUCGCCAGUGAAGCAGGCCUGCCUCGUUUGUGGGUGGGUUGACGGUAGCUGGAUAAGAAGCGCCGGCUAACUACGUG